GGCGCAGGCGGCUUUUUAAGUCGAGUGUGAAAUCUCCUGGCCUAACUGGGAGAAGCCAUUCGAUACUGUGAAGCUGGAGGGCGGCAGAGGGAGGUGGAAUUCCCGGUGUAGUGGUGAAAUGCGUAGAUAUCGGGAGGAACACCAGUGGCGAAGGCGGCCUCCUGGGCCGUUCCUGACGCUUAAGCCCGAAGGCGUGGGGAGCAAACAGGAUCAGAUACCCUGGUAGUCCACGCCAUAAACUAUGGACACUAGGUAUGGGGAGUAUCGACCCUCUCCGUGCCGAAGCUAACGCGUUAAGUGUCCCGUCUGAGAAGUACGGCCGCAAGGCUAAA
rnacentral:rRNA from 1 species